rnacentral:lncRNA from 1 species
UGGAUUCUGCUCUUGCCACUUUUGACGACAGCUCAUGUUUUUCUUUCAACGCAUUCAAGGACUCUUGGCACGACUUAAGGGCUCAAUUUGCCAUUAGACUCCGACCUUCGUUGUUGUCAAUAACAGACCCGAUUCCAAACUCAUCCUGUAAAUCACAAACUCUCUUUUGCUUUUCGGUUAUCUGGUCUUCGAUUUCCUUAAAACUUUUUAUAUCCAUACUCAUAUGAACUCUGCAUAAACUCCCUUUCAGUUUGUAAUGCCAACAUUUCCUUCUGAAGCUUAUCUAUUUCCUCCAAUGCCUCAUCUUUGUUCAGCCCUGAAGUUUGGAACCUGACAGCAUUCUUCAGUUGUCCCUCCUUCGACAAGAGCAUAGACCGGUUCCUGAAAUCUUUCUUUAGAGUUUGACCUUUUGGGAGGCGUGGUUUGUUGGAAUGGAUGGAAGAAGUUGAUGUUUG